rnacentral:rRNA from 1 species
GUGGUAAUGCCGGAUGUUCCAGUUGAUCGCAUGGUCUUCUGGGAAAGCUUUCGCGGUAUGGGAUGGGGUCGCGUCCUAUCAGCUUGACGGCGGGGUAACGGCCCACCGUGGCUUCGACGGGUAGCCGGCCUGAGAGGGCGACCGGCCACAUUGGGACUGAGAUACGGCCCAGACUCCUACGGGAGGCAGCAGUGGGGAAUAUUGCACAAUGGGCGCAAGCCUGAUGCAGCGACGCCGCGUGAGGGAUGGAGGCCUUCGGGUUGUAAACCUCUUUUAUCGGGGAGCAAGCGUGAGUGAGUUUACCCGUUGAAUAAGCACCGGCUAACUACGUGCCAGCAGCCGCGGUAAUACGUAGGGUGCAAGCGUUAUCCGGAAUUAUUGGGCGUAAAGGGCUCGUAGGCGGUUCGUCGCGUCCGGUGUGAAAGUCCAUCGCUUAACGGUGGAUCCGCGCCGGGUACGGGCGGGCUUGAGUGCGGUAGGGGAGACUGGAAUUCCCGGUGUAACGGUGGAAUGUGUAGAUAUCGGGA